rnacentral:tRNA from 1 species
GCCGAGAUGGCGGAAUGGUAGACGCGCACGUUUCAGGGGCGUGUGAGCUUUGCUCAUGGAGGUUCAAGUCCUCUUCUCGGCACCA